AUUGAACGCUGGCGGAAUGCUUUACACAUGCAAGUCGAACGGCAGCACGGACUUCGGUCUGGUGGCGAGUGGCGAACGGGUGAGUAAUGUAUCGGAACGUGCCCAGUCGUGGGGGAUAACGUAGUGAAAAUUACGCUAAUACCGCAUACGAUCUAUGGAUGAAAGCGGGGGAUCGCAAGACCUCGCGCGACUGUAGCGGCCGAUAUCAGAUUAGGUAGUUGGUCGGGGAAAGGCCCACCAAGCCAACAAUCUGUAGCUGGUCUGAGAGGACGACAAGCCACACUAGAACUGAGACACGGUCCAGCGUCCUGCGGGAGGCAGCAGUGUGGAAUGUUGGACAAUGGUCGAAAGCCUGAUCCAGCCAUUCCGCGUGCAGGAUGAAGGCCCUCGGGUUGUAAACUGCUUUUGUACAGAACGAAAAGGUUUCUACUAAUACUAGGAGCUCAUGACGGUACUGUAAGAAUAAGCACCGGCUAACUACGUGCCAGCCGCCGCAGUAA
rnacentral:rRNA from 1 species